GACGAGUCUCACAAACGUUAUUCGGAAUUACUGGGCUUAAAGGGUGCGUAGGCGGUGGAGUAAGUCGGAUGUGAAAUACCUUAGCUUAACUAGGGAACUGCACUCGAUACUACUUUGCUAGAGUAAGACAGAGGUGAGUGGAACUGAGGGUGGAGCGGUGAAAUGCGUUGAUAUCCUCAGGAACACCGGUGGCGAAGGCGACUCACUGGGUCUUUACUGACGCUGAUGCACGAAAGCUAGGGUAGCAAACGGG
rnacentral:rRNA from 1 species